rnacentral:rRNA from 1 species
UACAGAGGUGGCAAGCGUUGUUCGGAAUUACUGGGCGUAAAGGGCGCGUAGGCGGCCUUCUAAGUCAGACGUGAAAUCCCCCGGCUUAACCUGGGAACUGCGUCUGAUACUGGGAGGCUUGAGUAUGGGAGAGGGAUGUAGAAUUCCAGGUGUAGCGGUGAAAUGCGUAGAUAUCUGGAGGAAUACCGGUGGCGAAGGCGGCAUCCUGGACCAUAACUGACGCUGAGGCGCGAAAGCUAGGGAAGCAAACGGG